GAUCUUCUGUACUUGCCUGGAAAUUCAAAAACAGGCUACAUAUGAGCGAAUACAAAACACAUAAUGGCAAAUUUUACUGGAAUCAAGCUCCAACAGAACAAAAACAACAUCUACAAAAUAAGCUCUACACCUUGCACAUUGAUCCAACAAAAUAAAUUAACACUUUACAUUAGAUGGAGAGGACAUCAACCGCAAAAAUGAG
rnacentral:misc_RNA from 1 species